rnacentral:rRNA from 1 species
AUUGAACGCUGGCGGCAUGCCUUACACAUGCAAGUCGAACGGCAGCACGGGAGCAAUCCUGGUGGCGAGUGGCGAACGGGUGAGUAAUAUAUCGGAACGUACCUUUCAGUGGGGGAUAACGUAGCGAAAGUUACGCUAAUACCGCAUAUUCUGUGAGCAGGAAAGCAGGGGAUCGCAAGACCUUGCGCUGAUUGAGCGGCCGAUAUCAGAUUAGCUAGUUGGUGAGGUAAAGGCUCACCAAGGCGACGAUCUGUAGCGGGUCUGAGAGGAUGAUCCGCCACACUGGAACUGAGACACGGUCCAGACUCCUACGGGAGGCAGCAGUGGGGAAUUUUGGACAAUGGGCGCAAGCCUGAUCCAGCCAUGCCGCGUGAGUGAAGAAGGCCUUCGGGUUGUUAAAGCUCUUUCAGACGGAAAGAAAUUCGGUGAGGGUUAAUACCUUCACUAGGAUGACGGUACCGUAAGAAGAAGCACGGCUAACU